rnacentral:rRNA from 1 species
GAGCACGUAGGUGGGUUUGUAAGUCAGACGUGAAAGCCUUCUGUUCAACGGAAGAAUUGCAUCUGAAACUACAAACCUUGAGUGUAGGAGGGGAGAAUGGAACUUCUGGUGGAGCGGUGAAAUGCGUAGAUAUCAGAAGGAACGCCGGCGGCGAAAGCGAUUCUCUGGCCUAUUACUGACACUCAGUGUGCGAAAGCUAGGGGAGCAAACGGGAUUAGAUACCCCGGUAGUCCUAGCCGUAAACGAUGGGCACUAAGUAGAGGGAAUUACCGAUGUUCUCUCUGCCGUAGCUAACGCAUUAAGUGCCCCGCCUGGGGAGUACGGCCGCAAGGCUAAAACUCAAAAGAAUUGACGGGGGCUCGCACAAGCGGUGGAGCAUGUGGCUUAAUUCGAUGCAACGCGAAAAACCUUACCGGGGCUUGACAUGGUAGAAGUAGGAACCCGAAAGGGUAACGAACGGUAUCCAGUCCGUGACUAUCACAGGUGUUGCAUGGCUGUCGUCAGCUCGUGUCGUGAGACGUUGGGUUAAGUCCCCUAACGAGCGAAACCCUUGUUUUUAGUUGCCAGCGGGUUAUGCCGGGCACUCUAGAAAGACUGCCGUCGUCAAGACGGAGGAAGGUGGGGAU